AAUCAACGCUGGCGGCGUGCCUAACACAUGCAAGUCGCACGAGAAAGGGGAGCAAUCCCCGAGUAAAGUGGCGCACGGGUGAGUAACACGUGAAUGAUCUACCUCCGAGUGGGGAAUAACUGAGAGAAAUCUUAGCUAAUACCGCAUAACACUUACGAGUCAAAGCAGCAAUGCGCUUGGAGAGGAGUUCGCGGCCGAUUAGUUAGUUGGCGGGGUAAUGGCCCACCAAGACGAUGAUCGGUAUCCGGCCUGAGAGGGCGCACGGACACACUGGAACUGAAACACGGUCCAGACUCCUACGGGAGGCAGCAGUGGGGAAUUUUGCGCAAUGGGCGAAAGCCUGAUCCAGCCAUGCCGCGUGCGGGAAGAAGGCCUUCGGGUUGUAAACCGCUUUUGGCAGGAACGAAACGGCGCGGGCCAAUACCCCGCGUUAAUGACGGUACCUGCAGAAUAAGCACCGGCUAACUACGUGCCAGCAGCCGCGGUAAUACGUAGGGUGCAAGCGUUAAUCGGAAUUACUGGGCGUAAAGCGUACGCAGGCGGCUAGGUAAGACAGGUGUGAAAUCCCCGGGCUCAACCUGGGAACUGCAUUUGUGACUGCCUAGCUCGAGUCUGUCAGAGGGGGGUGGAAUUCCACGUGUAGCAGUGAAAUGCGUAGAGAUGUGGAGGAACACCGAUGGCGAAGGCAGCCCCCUGGGAUGAGGCUGACGCUCAUGUACGAAAGCGUGGGGAGCAAACAGGAUUAGAUACCCUGGUAGUCCACGCCCUAAACGAUGUCGACUAGUUGUCGGGAAUUCAUUUUCUCGGUAACGCAGCUAACGCGUGAAGUCGACCGCCUGGGGAGUACGGUCGCAAGAUUAAAACUCAAGGGAAUUGACGGGGACCCGCACAAGCGGUGGAUGAUGUGGAUUAAUUCGAUGCAACGCGAAAAACCUUACCUACCCUUGACAUGCCCGGAAUCCCGCAGAGAUGUGGGAGUGCCCGAAAGGGAGCCGGGACACAGGUGCUGCAUGGCUGUCGUCAGCUCGUGUCGUGAGAUGUUGGGUUAAGUCCCGCAACGAGCGCAACCCUUGUCACUAGUUGCUACGAAAGGGCACUCUAGUGAGACUGCCGGUGACAAACCGGAGGAAGGUGGGGAUGACGUCAAGUCCUCAUGGCCCUUAUGGGUAGGGCCUCACACGUCAUACAAUGGCCGGUACAAAGGGCUGCCAACCCGCGAGGGGGAGCUAAUCCUGGAAAGCUGGUCGUAGUCCGGAUUGCAGUCUGCAACUCGACUGCAUGAAGUCGGAAUCGCUAGUAAUCGUGGAUCAGCAUGUCACGGUGAAUACGUUCCCGGGUCUUGUACACACCGCCCGUCACACCAUGGGAGUGGGGUUCACCAGAAGCCGUUUGCCUAACCGCAAGGGGGGCGGCGACCACGGUGAGCUUCAUGACUGGGGUG
rnacentral:rRNA from 1 species